AGCAGCCGCGGUAAUUCCAGCUCCAAUAGCGUAUAUUAAAGUUGUUGCAGUUAAAAAGCUCGUAGUUGAAUUUCGGGGUCUGUCCGUCGGUCGGGCUUCACGGUCCGUACUGGUGUGAUGGGUUCCUACCUUCUGAAUAACCGGCAUGCCAUUCAGUUGGUGCGCCGGGGAAGCAGAGCUAUUACCUUGAAAAAUUAGAGUGCUUAAAGCAGGCUAGUGCUUGAAUAGAUUAGCAUGGAAUAAUAAAAUAGGACGGCAUGGUUCUAUUUUGUUGGUUUCUAGGAUCACCGUAAUGAUUAAUAGGGAUAGUUGGGGGCAUUAGUAUUCAAUUGUCAGAGGUGAAAUUCUUGGAUUUAUUGAAGACUAACUUCUGCGAAAGCAUUUGCCAAGGAUGUUUUCAUUAAUCAAGAACGAAAGUUAGGGGAUCGAAGACGAUCAGAUACCGUCGUAGUCUUAACCAUAAACUAUGCCGACUAGGGAUCGGACGAUGUUAAUUUUUAAUGACUCGUUCGGCG
rnacentral:rRNA from 1 species